UCAACAACAAAGCAUGUUUCUUUGUAAAGCCAAAGCCAAACCUGAUAAGUUUCGCCUGGUUGCUUUACUUGCCUUUAUCCUCUAUCUGCAUCUUCCUCUUUCUGGUGGUUGGUUGUGUUAGAGUUAUAAUAUAGGUCAUGUACCCCUUUGUAUUUAUCCCGUUAUAUAAGGGGUUUCCUGCAUAUGUUCCACACCUGUACAUGUAUAUAUAUCGGCCUAUGGCCUCAUGGGAAUACAAGUUGCUUAUUCCUAACAUGGUAUUAGAGCCCUAGGGUUUCUUUUCGCACGCCGCAACUCGUGCUCGAUCCUGUCGUGACGGCCGCCGCUGCUCCAAUCCGCUGCCUUGGCCUGAAGCGCUGCUCGUCGCUCAACACGCACGCGCCGGGCGCUGCUCUGGUCUCCCGCCUGUCUCCCGCGGUGCCGCACGUCACAGCCGCCAGCGCCACACGCGCCCGCCGACGCUGCUCCUGGUCUCCCGCCCAUCCCCGGUCUCCCGCCUGAAGCGUUCUGGCCUGCUCGUGGUCUCCGCUCUGCUGCCCCGGCCGGAAGCGUCCCCAGCCUGCUCGAGGUCUCCCGCCAGCCACCGGGUCUCCCGCCCAUCCCUGGUCUCCCGCCCGCUCGUGGCUCCCGCCAGCCACCCGGUCUCCCGCCCAGCUCCGGUCUCCCGUCCGCUCGUGGCUCCCGCCAGCCACCCGGUCUCCUGCUCGUCCGGUGCUCGGCUGAUUUCGGGUCUCAGGUAAAAAAAAAGUCUGCUGCAUCGGGCUAUGUUGCCGUCCCUCGCUGUCCGGUGAUCUUCGAUGGUACGAACUACACCGAGUUCGCUGGCUUCAUGCGCAUUCACAUGCGCGGCAUCCGUCUCUGGGGUGUUCUUUCUGGCGAGGUCUGCUGUCCGCCACGUCUGGUUCCUCCGGUUGCCCCUACUCCGCCGACUCCACUGGUUCUUCCUCCGGAUGCUAAUCAGGCCGCCAAGGAUGCGGCUAAGAUUGCUGAUGAGGCUGCUGAUCGCGCCUAUGAUGAGAGGGUUUUGGCUUAUGAGGAGGCUCUUCAGACGUAUCAUGGUGCUCUGUCUGUUUACACCCAGUGGCUUGAUGAUGAUGCUCGUGCUGCAGCUGUUCUUACUGCUAGUGUUCUGCCUCAGUUUGCUUCUGAGUUUCUGGGUCUUCCUACUGUCUUCCAGAUGUGGACCUGUCUUCGUCAGCGCUAUGAGCCCUCUGGUGAUGCCUUAUACCUUUCUGUGGUUCGUCAGGAGCAUGCUCUUCAGCAGGGUGACUCUACUGUUGAUGACUUUUAUGCACAGAGUUCUGCUAUCUGGCGCCAGCUUGAUUCUCUCCGCAGUGCUGGUUGUCGUACUUGCCCCUGCUGCCAGGCUGUCCAGGCCGAUUUGGAGUUUCAUCGCGUCUACGAGUUCCUGUCUCGGCUCCAUAAGGAGUUUGAGCCCCGGCGUGCUCAGUUGUUUGCUCGUGGCCGUAUUUCUCUCAUGGAGGCGCUUUCAGAGAUUCGUGCUGAGGAGACUCGCCUACGUGGUGCUGGUUUGCUGGAGGUUCCCUCUGUGCUUGCUACUCGGGCUUCUUCCACUCCACCUGCGGCACCGCCCCAUUCUCGCUCGAGUGCUCCGCCGCUCUUGCCCACUCCUUCUGGAGGCUCCGGUCGCCCUCGUCCACACUGUGACUACUGCAACAAUGAUGGUCAUAUUGAGUCCCAGUGCUACACAAAGCGGAAACACCUGCGCAAGGCGCGAUCACCAUCCUCAGGGACUUCGUCAUCUCCCUCGACAGCUUCAGCCAUUGCUUUGACUGAGCAGGAUAUUCUGAGACUUAAGCGUCUGCUCGCGGCUUCAGGUUCUUCCUCGACGGGUACUGCUGGUUCUGUGACUGAUGCUUCCCGCACUGAGCACCUGCCCUCUACACAGUCAGGUACAUCCCCAUGGGUUCUGGACUCUGGAGCUUCUUUUCAUAUGUCUUCUAAUUCUUCCGCUUUGUCCUCUCUUCGAUCGCUGGCUUCUCCUGUUCAUGUCUUAACUGCUGAUGGUACUCCACUUUCUGUUGCUAGUAGAGGCCAUCUUUCCACUCCUUCUUAUUCUGUUCCUGAUGUUGCUCAUGUUCCUCGCCUUACCAUGAAUCUGUUUUCUGCUAGUCAACUUACUGAUUCUGGUUGUCGUGUCAUCCUUGAUGUUGACUCUUGUUCUGUCCAGGAUCGUCGCACGCACACUCUGGUUGGGGAUGGCCCUCGCCGCCGUGAUUCUCAAGGUCUUUGGGAGUUGGACUGGCUUCAUGUUCCUUCUGCUGCCACCACCAUUGCCAGUCCCUCCGCUGCUGUCGCCUCUGUUACUGGUUCCUUCAAGCAGUGGCAUCAUCGACUUGGUCAUCUGUGUGGUUCUCGGUUAUCGUCUUUAGUUCGUCGAGGUCUUCUGGGGUCUGUCUCAGGAGAUGUCUCUUUAGAGUGUCAGGGUUGUCAUCUUGGCAAGCAGAUCCAGUUACCAUAUUCACAUAGUGAGUCAGUGUCUAAGCAUCCUUUUGAUUUAGUCCAUUCUGAUGUAUGGGGUCCGGCUCCUUUCGCUUCGAAAGGUGGUCAUAAAUACUAUAUUAUUUUCAUCGAUGAUUUUUCUCGUUACACAUGGCUUUAUUUCAUGACUUCACGUAGUGAGGUGUCGUCUAUUUAUAAGCUUUUUGCUGCCAUGGUUCAUACUCAGUUCUCUUCACCCAUUCGUGUUUUCUGUGCUGACUCCGCUGGUGAGUAUAUCUCUAAGAUGUUGCGUGGUGUUCUUGCUGAGCAGGGUACUCUUGCCCAGUUCUCUUGUCCUGGUGCUCAUGCUCAGAAUGGCGUGUCUGAGCGCAAGCAUCGUCACCUUCUUGAGACGGCUCGUGCUAUGAUGAUCGCCGCCUCUCUUCCGCCUCAUUUUUGGGCUGAGGCUAUCUCCACUUCCGCCUCUCUCAUCAACCUUCAGCCGUCCGCUGCUUUGCAGGGUGGUGUUCCUUUUGAGCGUCUUUUUGAUCGGUCUCCCGAUUAUUCGAUGCUUCGCUUGUUUGGUUGUGUUUGCUUUGUUCUUCUUGCCCCUCGCGAACGCACCAAACUGACCGCUCAGUCUGUUGAGUGUGUCUUCUUAGGCUACAGUGAUGAGCAUAAGGGCUAUCGUUGUUGGGAUCCUAUCGGUCGUCGGAUGCGUAUCUCUCGAGACGUGACUUUUGAUGAGUCUCGUCCUUUCUACCCACGCCCAUCUUCCUCGUCUUUUUCAGUGGAGGAUAUCUCUUUCCUCACUUUUCCUGACUCACCUAUCACCCCCGUCGCGCCUGUGCCUAUUCGUUCCCCUCCCUCUGCUUCUCCACCCCUUGUCGAUUCGUCGCGACCCUCUUCCCCGGUCUCCUCCCCUAGCAUGUCACUGGAUUCUACACCUUCAUCUCCGGUGACUUCUUCGUCGCCACCCCCCGAUUCUACCUUGGCGAUUCCUCCUUCUCUUAUUCCGUCUUUGCCUCAGCAUUACACUCGUCGUUCACGACCUGUGGAUGCUUCCUUGGAUGAGUCGUCCUCUUCCUCUCAGCCUACUUAUGGCUUGCGUUCUCGUCCUCGUCCGCCUAUUGAUCGCUUUGGAUUUCCCACCGCUGGUGGUGCUGUUCUUGAGCCGACUUCUUACCGUCAGGCUGUUGUUCAUCCUGAAUGGCAGUUUGCGAUGGCAGAGGAGAUUGCUGCUCUUGAACGCACUGGUACCUGGGAUCUUGUUUCUCUUCCUCCCGGUGUCCGUCCCAUCACUUGUAAGUGGGUCUACAAGGUUAAGACUCGCUCCGAUGGUUCUCUUGAGCGUCACAAAGCUCGUCUCGUGGCUCGUGGUUUUCAACAGGAGCAUGGUCGUGAUUAUGACGAGACUUUUGCUCCUGCGGCCCAUAUGACCACUAUUCGUACACUUCUUGCCGUUGCCUCUGCACGCCACUGGUCUAUAUCUCAGCUUGAUGUUAAGAAUGCCUUUCUUAAUGGUGAGCUGCGUGAGGAGGUGUACAUGCAGCCACCACCUAGGUAUUCUGUUCCUGAUGGCAUGGUGUGUCGUCUUCGUCGCUCUCUCUAUGGCCUUAAGCAAGCCCCUCGCGCCUGGUUUGAGCGUUUUGCCUCUGUGGUCACUACUGUUGGUUUUUCAGCAAGUGCUCAUGAUCCAGCAUUAUUUAUUCACCUUUCUCCUCGUGGCCGGACUCUUCUUCUUCUCUAUGUUGAUGAUAUGGUCAUCACUGGGGAUGACCCUGAGUAUAUUGCCUAUGUAAAGACCCGUCUUAGUGAGCAGUUUCUUAUGUCUGAUCUUGGCCCUCUUCGCUACUUUCCUGGGAUUGAAGUCUCUUCUACCUCCGAUGGCUUUUUUAUAUCCCAGGAAAAGUAUAUCCAGGAUCUUCUUGCUCGUGCUGCUCUUACUGACGAGCGCAUUGUUGAGACUCCUAUGGAGCUCAAUGUUCACCUCCGUGCUACUGAUGGUGAUCCUCUUCCUGACCCGACGCGUUAUCCUUCUGUCACUCGUUGUCACGCGUUAUCCUGACCUGACCCAGCGCAUUGUUGGCAGUCUUGUUUAUCUCGCUGUCACUCGUCCGGACAUUUCUUAUCCGGUUCAUAUUCUGAGUCAGUUUGUCUCUGCUCCCACAUCGGUUCACUAUAGUCAUCUCCUUCGUGUUCUCCGAUAUCUUCGGGGCACGAUCUCUCACCGUCUCUUCUUUCCUAGCUCCAGUUCUUUACAGCUUCAGGCCUAUGCGGAUGCUACGUGGGCUAGUGAUCCUUCUGAUCGCCGUUCACUUUCUGCUUACUGUGUUUUUCUUGGCGGUUCUCUCAUUGCCUGGAAGACGAAGAAACAGAUUGCAGUUUCCCGUUCGAGUGCUGAGGCUGAGUUGCGAGCUAUGGCUCUUUUGACGGCAGAGGUGACUUGGUUACGGUGGUUACUUCAGGAUUUUGGUGUUUCUGUCACUACACUGACUCUGCUCUUAUCUGACAGUACAGGUGCUAUUAGUAUUGCGCGCGAUCCUGUGAAGCAUGAUCUCACCAAGCAUAUUGGUGUUGAUGCUUUCUAUGUGCGCGCUGCUGUGCAGGAUCAGGUUAUUGCUCUUCAGUAUGUGCCUUCCAAGUUAUAGUUGGCGGAUUUCCUGACGAAGGCCCAGACUAGAGCACAACAUGGCUUUUAUCUCUCCAAACUCAGUGUUGUUCCUCCACCAUGAGUUUGAGGGGGGUGUUAGAGUUAUAAUAUAGGUCAUGUACCCCUUUGUAUUUAUCCCGUUAUAUAAGGGGUUUCCUGCAUAUGUUCCACACCUGUACAUGUAUAUAUAUCGGCCUAUGGCCUCAUGGGAAUACAAGUUGCUUAUUCCUAACAGGUUGAUGUAGGCCAGAGUUGUCUCCAAGGCAAGAAAGAACCCAAAAAAAAGGGAAACAGGAAGGAGCAGUUAAUGGGGAAGAGGAUAGGAUGCUCAACAGUGGAGACUAUGGCCUUUUUACCCUGUUCUACAGUGAGUUGAUGCUACUUAACUUCAACUGCAAGUCAGCAAUAAUUAAUAUUAGAUGUUUGUGAUCGAUCAGGUUGUCCAAGCUACAUAACUAGA
rnacentral:lncRNA from 1 species